GACGAACGCUGGCGGCGUGCUUAACACAUGCAAGUCGAACGGAAAGGCCCUGCUUUUGUGGGGUGCUCGAGUGGCGAACGGGUGAGUAACACGUGAGUAACCUGCCCUUGACUUUGGGAUAACUUAAGGAAACUGGGGCUAAUACCGGAUAGGAGCUCCUGCUGCAUGGGGGGGGUUGGAAAGUUUCGGCGGUUGGGGAUGGACUCGCGGCUUAUCAGCUUGUUGGUGGGGUAGUGGCUUACCAAGGCUUUGACGGGUAGCCGGCCUGAGAGGGUGACCGGCCACAUUGGGACUGAGAUACGGCCCAGACUCCUACGGGAGGCAGCAGUGGGGAAUAUUGCACAAUGGGCGGAAGCCUGAUGCAGCAACGCCGCGUGCGGGAUGACGGCCUUCGGGUUGUAAACCGCUUUCGCCUGUGACGAAGCGUGAGUGACGGUAAUGGGUAAAGAAGCACCGGCUAACUACGUG
rnacentral:rRNA from 1 species